AUAGAAUAUUCAUCUAGAAAUACACUAUCUAGAUUUGAUGCGCUUCUUUGUUCUGUAGAAGAGGGAAUCGUGUCAUGGUGUGGUGUGUAUUUUCUACGUUGUAUCAUCUCGAACACCAGGCCAGGCUCGUUGUUCCACGACCUCCUAGUUACUGUCACCGAGUCUGAAAUCUUUCCCCCUCACUGUCUGUUACCGGUGCCAAACCGGUUUAGUUUUAACUGUAAAAAAAAUGUUGCCUCCGUGACCCGUUCAUCGUGAACCAUCAUUAAGUGUCUCUUAAACCCCCCCAAUGCCACUUGACUGAUUCUAGUGUAACACUGUCCUGGUGCUGUAGUGGGAUUUUAAAUGUAGUUUAACUUCCUUUUUAAAAUAAAAAAAUGUGUAUAAAGUUAAAGCCCCUCCCCUCUAAUUUUAUAGAUCCUGCUAGAACCUUCUCUAAUAGUGUGUCCUAAAUGGCUCCCUGUGUAGUGCAGUGUACUAGGGAAUAGGGCCCUGUAGUGCAGUGUACUAGAAAGGGAAUGGGGCCCUGUAGUGCAGUGUACUAGAAAGGGAAUGGGGCCCUGUGUAGUGCAGUGUACUAGGGAAUAGGGCCCUGUAUAGUGCAGUGUACUAGAAAGGGAAUAGAGAGCCAUUUUGUGAAACAACAAGAGGUGUGUUUUUUUUUGGCGUGGUUGGUCUUUUCCCUACAACAGACAGUCUAGUGGCAUUAUUACUUGUAUGGACGACUUUUUUGUUGUUGUGGCGUUUAAAUGUCUUUUAUUUUUGGGGUCUUUACUUUCCCCUCGUUGUAAACGUCCUCCCUUGCAACUGUGUCAAAUAUUGUAUCAAUGCAAAACGUGUCAACGUUAAAGAAUACGCUGUUUUUGUAUGAAAAAUGUCGCAACAAAUAUUUCCUUAUGAACAGGAACAAUUAAAGAACGUUUCUUAGUAAUCCAGUGUUUUUCCUUUUUUCAUCUAUUUAGUAGUGUUCUAUAUCCAUGGCGACGUUUCAGUACUAAAUAGAUCCUACACC
ensembl:lncRNA